GAUUCCUUGGCACUUGUUCUAAGGGUCAUUAUCUCCCGGCCAUUAUAUAUAUACUGGCCAUAAUUUCCCUCCACUAACAUCUCAUUUUCACGAACCCAUCUCAAAUCAAUAAACCCCCAUUUGUAUAGGAAAGCUACCUACCGGCAAUUUCAUCGAUGAACACAUCGGCGACCACCAAAAGCCAACUAGUGACCACCAGCAACAAAUUGGUGACGACCAACCAUUACUCAAAAACUUUAUUGGAAAUAUUUAGAAACCAAUCAAUGAAGCCCUAACCCAUUAGAGACUCCCAAAAAUCCACCACCACUACCUUCGCACCAAGAUCAUUAUCAUUCUCAACAAGGAGUGCCAGAAGCUUAACCUUCUCGCUGCCAAUCACCUACACAUGAAUCCUCUUGAACAUGGAUUUGGUUUGGUGGCUGGGAGUACUAAGGAAAGGGAUCGAGAGCACUUAUGUCAUCUCAAGCACCAAUUGAAUAGAGAAAAAGAGAAAAAGAGGGAAGAGGAAGGAAGGUGAUGCUCUUCUGCAUGUGAACAGUUGCAACUGCUAAGCUGGUGGACACAGUUUGAAGCAGUUAAAAGUAGGAUAAAGUUGUUAGGUGCUGUUGUGCUUUAGUUUCAAAUUAAGCUUGGGAUCAAGCUCACAAGUUUCAUAGCGGCAAGUCAUGGCACCAUUAAGUGACAGGUUGCGAAGAAAAUUGAUUUGCCAAAAGAAGAGAAAUCAUUAUGUUAAAGGAGGUGAUGUCGAAAACUAUGAAGAUUACAUCAAUAAAGUCAUUUGGAGGCUGAACUAUAUUUUUUAUAUAAUAUAGAUGUUAAUAGUUGCACUAAAUAUUUGUUCUUUUGUUGAAAGAAUUAGAUAUUGUUCUUGAAAUAUUUUGAUUUAAUUAACAGAUUUGUAUAUAAUUAUUGUAUAUAAAUAGUUACAUUGAUGGUUUGAACUAAGUUAUUGUAUAUUAAUAUUUCAAGAUAUUUUCAUUA